AUACGGAGGAUGCGAGCGUUAUCCGGAUUUAUUGGGUUUAAAGGGAGCGUAGGUGGGAUAUUAAGUCAGCUGUGAAAGUUUGGGGCUCAACCUUAAAAUUGCAGUUGAUACUGGUUUCCUUGAGUACGGUACAGGUGGGCGGAAUUCGUGGUGUAGCGGUGAAAUGCUUAGAUAUCACGAAGAACUCCGAUCGCGAAGGCAGCUCACCGGGCCGGAACUGACACUGAUGCUCGAAAGUGCGGGUAUCAAACAGGAUUAGAUACCCUGGUAGUCCGCACAGUAAACGAUGAAUACUCGCUGUUUGCGACACACUGUAAGCGGCCAAGCGAAAGCGUUAAGUAUUCCACCUGGGGAGUACGCCGGCAACGGUGAAACUCAAAUGAAUUGACGGGG
rnacentral:rRNA from 1 species